rnacentral:rRNA from 1 species
AAGAUGUAACGGGGCUAAACCAUGCACCGAAGCUGCGGCAGCGACGCUGAUGCGUUGUUGGGUAGGGGAGCGUUCUGUAAGCCUGCGAAGGUGGCCUGUGAGGGUUGCUGGAGGUAUCAGAAGUGCGAAUGCUGACAUAAGUAACGAUAAAGCGGGUGAAAAGCCCGCUCGCCGGAAGACCAAGGGUUCCUGUCCAACGUUAAUCGGGGCAGGGUGAGUCGACCCCUAAGGCGAGGCCGAAAGGCGUAGUCGAUGGGAAACGGGUUAAUAUUCCCGUACUUGGUGUUACUGCGAAGGGGGGACGGAGAAGGCUAUGUUGGCCGGGCGACGGUUGUCCCGGUUUAAGCGUGUAGGUGUGUGUUCCAGGUAAAUCCGGUUCACUUUAACACUGAGGCGUGACGACGAGGCACUACGGUGCUGAAGCAACAAAUGCCCUGCUUCCAGGAAAAGCCUCUAAGCAUCAGGUAACAUCAAAUCGUACCCCAAACCGACACAGGUGGUCAGGUAGAGAAUACCAAGGCGCUUGAGAGAACUCGGGUGAAGGAACUAGGCAAAAUGGUGCCGUAACUUCGGGAGAAGGCACGCUGACACGUAGGUGAAGUGAUUUACUCAUGGAGCUGAAGUCAGUCGAAGAUACCAGCUGGCUGCAACUGUUUAUUAAAAACACAGCACUGUGCAAACACGAAAGUGGACGUAUACGGUGUGACGCCUGCCCGGUGCCGGAAGGUUAAUUGAUGGGGUCAGCGCAAGCGAAGCUCCUGAUCGAAGCCCCGGUAAACGGCGGCCGUAACUAUAACGGUCCUAAGGUAGCGAAAUUCCUUGUCGGGUAAGUUCCGACCUGCACGAAUGGCGUAAUGAUGGCCAGGCUGUCUCCACCCGAGACUCAGUGAAAUUGAACUCGCUGUGAAGAUGCAGUGUACCCGCGGCAAGACGGAAAGACCCCGUGAACCUUUACUAUAGCUUGACACUGAACAUUGAGCCUUGAUGUGUAGGAUAGGUGGGAGGCUUUGAAGUGUGGACGCCAGUCUGCAUGGAGCCGACCUUGAAAUACCACCCUUUAAUGUUUGAUGUUCUAACGUGGACCCGUGAUCCGGGUUGCGGACAGUGUCUGGUGGGUAGUUUGACUGGGGCGGUCUCCUCCUAAAGAGUAACGGAGGAGCACGAAGGUUGGCUAAUCCUGGUCGGACAUCAGGAGGUUAGUGCAAUGGCAUAAGCCAGCUUGACUGCGAGCGUGACGGCGCGAGCAGGUGCGAAAGCAGGUCAUAGUGAUCCGGUGGUUCUGAAUGGAAGGGCCAUCGCUCAACGGAUAAAAGGUACUCCGGGGAUAACAGGCUGAUACCGCCCAAGAGUUCAUAUCGACGGCGGUGUUUGGCACCUCGAUGUCGGCUCAUCACAUCCUGGGGCUGAAGUAGGUCCCAAGGGUAUGGCUGUUCGCCAUUUAAAGUGGUACGCGAGCUGGGUUUAGAACGUCGUGAGACAGUUCGGUCCCUAUCUGCCGUGGGCGCUGGAGAACUGAGGGGGGCUGCUCCUAGUACGAGAGGACCGGAGUGGACGCAUCACUGGUGUUCGGGUUGUCAUGCCAAUGGCACUGCCCGGUAGCUAAAUGCGGAAGAGAUAAGUGCUGAAAGCAUCUAAGCACGAAACUUGCCCCGAGAUGAGUUCUCCCUGAGACUUAGAGUCUCCUGAAGGAACGUUGAAGACGACGACGUUGAUAGGCCGGGUGUGUAAGCGCAGCGAUGCGUUGAGCUAACCGGUACUAAUGAACCGUGAGGCUUAACCUU